GCAUUUAUUACAUAAACAGAGUAAUUGUAUGUGUUGUCUGUGAGGUUUAAUGGAGUGUAUGGUAUCCAGAGUCAUCAAAGUUUGAGCGGGCUGUACUCCUUCGUCUCAAUCAAGUCGAUGAGAGACUCCAAAACAUUGAACGUCUUCUAAGGACUAACAUGUGUUCUGAGCCACCCGAAGGACAAGAAAUUAUCGAAAAGCCCUGUAACACACCAAAGGAACUGGAAGAUUUGUGCACCAUGUUGAAGGAUCCAGCCUACAAAAAGAGAGUGUUUAGUACUUCAAGGUUGUAAGAGUUUGCACUUGGAACACAGUGUCAUAUGCAUUGUUGUAACUCCAGCUGUGUGUGAUCUUUGUAGAGGUGGAGUGGUGUAGUGGGCUAAGCACAGCCAACAAACCAAACACAAAGCAACCCUGUGUUUUCCAUAUUAUUUUAUAUAAUUAUGCACACAGUUUUAUUUUUCUUGGUGCAGAUAUUGCUGUGUAGCAUAAUACAGCAUUACUUUUAUUUUCAGAUCGAUUGGCUGAGCCUCAUGGGAGGCAACACACCUGGAGAGUCGGUCAGAAGACUGCUUAGGAAACUCGGGACGAAUGCUCUAUGGGCCCAAUAUAGUCUUAAAGGCCGCAAGGGAAAGAAGAAUUUGUAGGAACUGGAAAUAUGUAAUGUCAUAAUCCAUGCCUGUCGUCAAACACACACCAAGGUGCUGGAAAAAGUAAUUGAGGACUUCAUAUCAGAAACACUGAAGUUUGCACCACACAGAGAUAAGGUAAGGCUUUUUUAGUUUGUAAAACAUUAAUAAAGAAAACAUAGCACAUAUAAUACAGAUUAUACUGUAUACUAAUACUAUGUUUUGUUUCUAUAGAUGCUACAAUCUAAGGUGUCACUUCAGGCCGAAGCAGAGACUUCAGGAAAAGAAGACACACAGAACACACUUAAUUAGUUGUUUUACACACAGAACGUAUUUUAUGUAAGAUUUGGAAUGUUUCAGUUUGUGGAAUGUUUGAGUAUAUAAAAUGUGAAAGUUAAGAUAUCAGUUAUGCCACUUUUUUUUCCAUUUAAAUGUACUGUACGUUACAGUAUACUUAAAGUAUCCUUGGCAAAAUGUAGACAAAUACAAUAUGAAUGAAAAAUUAUCAAAUAAAUUAAAAUAUGAAAAAUGUUUGUGUAGUGUCUUAAAGUUUUUGGUGUUGACAAAUAUAAUUAGAAAUAUUUUACCAAAUGUUUGAAUUUAUAUUUGUUUAUUAAAAAAGUUCCCAGGGCAAUGUUUGGAGGAUAUCUGGAUAUUUUUAUAGACGUUUAAAGAUUCAGCAUUUUUUUCCCCCUAUCAUUUUCCUAACAAGAUGAAAAAUCUGGACAUUUGGAAUGUUUAAAAUCAUUUAGAAAUAAUGUUUUCAUAAUGUUUUCAAGAUGAUAGAAUGUAAUGUUUCUAUAACAUUCACACAUACCAAGAAAGAGCGUUCCUAAUACAUUAAAAAAAAGCACAUUUCCAACAUUUAACGAACAUUCCCUAAUAACAUUUUCAUAACGUUUUCAAGAUGAUAGAAUGGAAUGUUUCUAUAACGUUCACAUAAACCAAGAAAAAAUGUUCCUAAUACAUAAAAAAA
ensembl:lncRNA